GACGGAGGGGGCUAGCGUUGUUCGGAAUGACUGGGCGUAAAGGGCGCGUAGGCGGCCGCUUGCGUCGGAUGUGAAAGCCCGGGGCUCAACCCCGGAACGGCAUCCGAUACGGGGCGGCUCGAGACCGAGAGAGGUGAGUGGAAUACCCAGUGUAGAGGUGAAAUUCGUAGAUAUUGGGUGGAACACCGGUGGCGAAAGCGGCUCACUGGCUCGGUUCUGACGCUGAGGCGCGAAAGCGUGGGGAGCAAACAGG
rnacentral:rRNA from 1 species